AAGUCGUAACAAGGUUUCCGUAGGUGAACCUGCGGAAGGAUCAUUACAAAUAAAGCUGGUAGGAAGUGGGGUCUUGAUCUGUAAGUGGUAGAGCAGAACAGUCCGGCUCGCCUACCCGAAAUGUCUUACAUCGUCCCCCACAGCCUGAAGGGCCCGAAUUACAACCCUUGAUUAUCUACACUUGCUGCUUUUGGGGGUGCUCAGGUGCCCCCAGAGGACCCCAAACUCUCUUGCAUUAUAGUGACGUCUGAGUACUAUAAUAAUAAUUUAAAAU
rnacentral:misc_RNA from 1 species